rnacentral:rRNA from 1 species
GAACGCUGGCGGCAGGCCUAACACAUGCAAGUCGAACGCCCUAGCAAUAGGGAGUGGCAGACGGGUGAGUAACACGUGGGAACCUUCCCUAUAGUACGGAAUAGCUCAGGGAAACUUGAAGUAAUACCGUAUACGCCCGAGAGGGGAAAGAUUUAUCGCUAUAGGAUGGGCCCGCGUCGGAUUAGCUAGUUGGUGAGGUAAUGGCUCACCAAGGCGACGA